rnacentral:lncRNA from 1 species
ACAUAGAUAGAAAAUUUGGCCCAAUUGAUUGGAUUUAGUUACAAAUUUCAAAUUCAAAUUUAAAAUACAGAAGAAAUGGUAAUUUUUCAUAUCCCAAGAUUGAGGCAAAACGAUUGCAUUGCUGAAGUUUGAGACACAAAUCCAAUUUGAAAUGCACUAGAAAUGAUAAUCAUAUUGGCAUAUCUUGUGACUGUGGCUGGCAUUAAUCAAGUCUACUAUCAAGAGAUACCUGAGGAAAAAAAAAAGCGAAGUGACCUCGUACUAGUCAAACUUACCCCAAAAUGGGCACAAAAUUGAAAAUAAACAAUUGCUAGAAUCACAACUGUGAAAAUGCAGUUAUAGAGGCUUUUUUAUCCCUAAGUGUCCGGGUUUGCAAAUCAACCAAUGCCCCAAUUAGAUUCGAAAAAUGGACACCUACUAACCCACUACCAAUAACAUUAACAAACCAACAAGCAUGUGUCUUCUAUCAAGAGAUAGGGGACUUAUCCAUGGCAAAAUAACCUUGGACUUAUGUAUGUCUUGUGAGAUGACAGUGGCAUAGGCAGCAACCAAAUCUCAAGAAUGAAUAUAAGAGUGAGCCUUCAGAGGCUGAGGCUUUUGUAAUAUUUCUUUUUCCUUUCUCAUCUUUGAAACCUUCUACUCUGCCAAGCCUCCCUUUAUUAAAAAUAAAAAUAUAAAAAUAUAAAAACAUAAAAAACAGAAAAAUAAGAAGAAUGAAUAGAAGAUUCUUCUUUUGAAUCGUGAAAUAUAUUACAACGGCCAAAAGCUGGUGACAGAUAAAGACGAGAUUACUGAAUAUGGGAAUGUGAACAAAUGCCCUAGGGGCAAUGAGCAAAUGCGCCCUCUGCUUUUUGAUUGUAAAUGUCAUGACUACUCUCUAAUUGAUUCAAAAAAAAAAAGUGAUAUCAAUAGCUACAAGCUCCUUAAGAUUUAGGUCAUGGAAAGCCAAUUAAUUCCACAUCAAUGUUUUUGAACUGCUAUAAUACCUCAAACAAGCAGUCUGUUAACUAAAUGAAUCAUGGAAAGCAAGUUAUGUUCAGAUUGAAUUGCACCUAAGCAGCAAGCCUACAAUAGUUAGGACUACAAAAGGACUAUGCCUCCCAAAUAUCUGACCUAAACCUGGAUUAAGUGAGACUCAAUCAUACCCAAACGAUAUGAAGUCUCUACAUCCCACUUUCGUAUGAACUUAUGCUUCAAAAUUCCAUUUUCUACCCAAUGAGUUACCGAGCCAAUGAUUUGAUUAGAGAGAAAAGGAAGCAGUUCCUUUACUCUCUUGAACUUGGACCUCUUAUAGAAAAUAAUAGAAAAUAUAGAAAAAAAUUUAAGUAGGGGCUUUCAUUAAUUGAUCAUAUAUUGAUAUACAGUACCUUUAUUUAUACUAGUGAUGUCAGCCUUUGAGAACUCAAAUUGGAUUACUUUUAUAUUUAAAGGAUGUAAAAAUUAUACCAAGACAAAAUUUAUCCUGCAGCUUUCGACUUCUACAUGAACUUUAUACUCCACCAUAUUAUUUAAUUCUUCUUUACUUGGAACAUACCUAAUCAAAAUCUUAUUCAAAAGAAAUUUUUACUUUGAUUGGUUUGUUUCUAGGCCCAAAUAUCACCAAAUCUUUGCAUCAGUGGAGUGCAACCAACCCCUUAAGGGUGGUCACACCUCAUAAUAUUCGUCAAGGGCUUUUUUUUGAUGCCUAGAAUGCCAAAAUAGGUAUAUAAUAAAGUUAUAGCCUUCAGAAAUUAUAAUUCAUGAUCAAGUCCUAGAUAUAGAAGAUCUUAUGCCCAAACCCCAUCUAGACCCAUCUAAGAAGCGACCGAAUUGGUGUACAAUAGUUUCAGUGAUCCUCCUGGACAACUAUGAUUUUCAUAAUGCCAAUGGAUUUUCCUGUAAUACCUAGUUAUACACAAAUAUUUUCUAUUCCUUCAUAAGAAGUUUAUAAAGUUUAAAUAAUAUUUGUUGAUGUUUAAAGUAUUCUACACCUAAAAUUAUCAAGUUACAGCAGUUAAUCUUGACUCAACUUGGACUUGGAUUUGGACCAACCUAAGCCAAACCAUUUCCUCCACUUGAUCUGACCAAUAUAUAGGUUGGGUUGGAUCUAGAUAGUAGAUCCAUAUUUAAAUGGGAUUCUAUAUGGAUCAAUCAAAUUCUCAACCCAACCCAAUCUAGGGGUGCCAAUCCAUCAAUCAGUUGAGUUCAAGUCAGAUUGAAAACACAUAUCAAGACCCAUAGGGCCUAACCAAAACCCAACCUAACCUGCCAGUUGGUUAAGAACACCUGACCCAAAAUUGGCUCAUAGUCAACCAACUGACCUGCAUCCACACGCUAACCCAUUUUAUUUGGUCCAAAGCCAUCUAAUUAUAGGUUUCACUAAUCCACAUCAUAUAACAUAACAGAGUAAAUAAAAAAAAGAAUAUAAAUCAUAAAUCUUUAAACAAAUCAAUCACUUACCACUUAUGUGUGUAUAUAUAGAACUGUCCACAAUAGUGGGUGUUAAGAGUACUUAUAUUUUUACAAUAGGAAAUCUGGCACUUCGUGAUACAACAAAACAUAUAAGUGUACAUUAUCACUUUGCUUGACAUGUUUGUAGGACAGAAUGUCUUUUGCCAAAAGAUUCAUGUAGACAAAAAUCUAAUGCAACAUACUGAAAAUGCUUAUCGAUAGAGAGAAGUCCAUCUCAUGUAAAGAAUCUAUUGGACUUAAUCUUAUGCAAUAAUUAGUGAAAUUGGAUAGUGGUCUCUUGAAUACUAUUGAUGUUUAAUAUGCCAAGAGUGAUGUUGAAGAAAAUCUUUAUGAAGAUUCGAUGAGUAAGACUUGGGCCCACUCAAGCAUGAGUUUUUGUGGAAACCCUAACGAUCUAUCUACAUCUAGAGGUUCAAAGCAGGCAAAGCCGAAACUAGCCUCAACAGUGUGUUGGGUUGCCUUGGUGUGGAUGUUAUUUUCGGCUAAGUGUUGUGCUUGGGUUCAUGUCUGUGUUUAAGCAUGGCCAAAAUUACCAUGCAGAGUUCAAUUUGGAUUGUGUGUUGCAUAUGGGUUAGCUUAGUUUUGACUUUCUUCGUAUUAUUGUUGGUUCAAGCUAGGGUGCUUGUAUUGGUAUUGGUUUAUAUUUGUAUUACUAUUUCUUAUUAUCAUAGGAGUGAAAUGGAGAAGCGAGAUGUAAGUGGGUUGUGAGCUUUGAGAUUAGGGUUGUUUUGCCUUUUUGGUUUAUGUACCUCUAGGCAUCUUUGUGGAAAUAGAAAACCCCAACGAUCUAUCAACAUCUAGAGGUAUAAAGCAGGUUAGGAAUCUUUAGAGUAUGCCUUCCAACAUGUGGGCAAAAAUCAUGCAAAGCUGAAGCAAGCCUCAACAGUGAGUUGGGUUGCCUUGGUUUGGAUGUCAUUUUUGGCUAAGUGUUGUGUUUGGGUUCGUCUGUGUUUAAGCAUAUGCGGAAUGUUGCAAAAACUCAUAAUGGCCAAAAUUUCCAUGCAGAGUUCAAUUUAGAUUGUGUGUUGCAUCUAGGUUGGCUUAAUUUUGACUUUCUUCGUAUCUUUGUUGGUUUAGCUAGCGUGCUUACAUUGGUAUUGGUUUAUAUUUGUAUUACUAUUUCUUACUAUUAUAGGGGUGAAAUGGAGAAGCGAGAUGUGAGUGGGUUGUGAGCUUUGAGAUUAGGGCUGUUUUGCCUUUCAUGAACCCCUAGGCAUCCUCUUCAAAGCUUUAUAGCUUAAAUCUAAUAAGCGAUCAUGUUCCUAAAUGGAAUGCUCGUUGAAUUAUCAAAAUCUCCAUCUUACUUACCAUUAUUCCUUGCUUCAAUUAGCCUAAAACUGAACAAUUCCAUCCCGUCUCACCCUCAAUUGAUCAUAUCAUGAAAUCAAUUAUCAUUAAUUGAGCUCAAAUAUAUUAUAACCAACUGCAUCAUUUAAGCCAUUUUCCCCAAUUUUAAAUUCUAAAAUCUCCCACUUUUCACCCACUGACAUUUCAAACUCAAUUCACUCAUUCCUCGACCCAACACCAUUUAAUAAAUUGUAAGCUCAAUUAAACAGAAAUCCCACUAAUUCCAUCAAUUAAUUGAAUGAACUUAAUAUUCAAGUUCACUCGAUCAAGCUCAAUUCACUGAUUCGAUCCAAUUAUCUCUCAAUUGACCGCCAAUUCCACCUUAUUUCUAACUUAAUUUAAUAUUUUUAAGUCAAAUUAAACUUUUCCACAAUUAAAUUGGCCAAUGUAAUACAUUUACAAGUCGAUUGGACUCGAUCUAUUCAAUUUUGAGCUUCUUUUCUUUUUUUGAAAUCUAGUCCAACGGCUUCUAAUAGCACUCUACUUCGACCUGUAGCCUCUCCUUAUAGCCUAGAUGUUCCUAUUUUAUAUUUUCUGAACAUAUCUACUCCUACCAACAAAAAUCACCAUAAAAAUAUCCAAAACUUUGCGUAAAAAUCAACCAAAAAUCGGUGAGAAUACAAACUAGAUUUGAUUGUUAUAGCUCUAACAAACUUACGCUCCCAAAAGCCAAUUGAAGUGAAAGGUUCUAUGUCUCAUAUCUUGGAGAAAGCAUGUAAGCCAUUAACUCAAAUAUUUUUGUACCAUGAUCCACAACUCUCCCCUAAGCCAAUCCUAGGAUGCAACUUGGCAUCAUCUAAACCUAUUUUCCAUUCAAAAAUUUUAAAUUCAGCAACUGAUCUUUCUCUCACCUAUCAAUAAAUAGCUCCAUGGUCCAUUCUUCCAGCCCCUCUUCUCAUUUGAUCUCCUAGCCUUAGAAUCCCCUUAGCUUCCCUUCUUCUUUCUGCUUCUUAUCUCUCUAUUAUUUCGAUCUAGAUGUCCCUAGUGCAAGGAGCAAGCUCAUCUAAACAUCUUCAAGUUUUUGAUAAUUUUUAUUCUUCAAAAUGGAAACAGCACAUGCCUAGCAAGUUUUUCAACUUUUUCGGUUUUUCCCAUCCUACAUUUAUUCUCUACAUUUUUUUUUUCAUGGUCUAGGCUAUUAUAUAGUUGUGUUGUCUUAUUGAUUACUUACUUGGAGUUAUGUCUAAUGUUUUGGGUUUUUAUCUGGAUCUAGAUGUUCUACUGUUGCAGCAUGGACUGGUUGGUGUUUUCGUAGUUCAUUUGCUACAUUGUCUUGGUUGCCCUCUUUUAGGUUUUAUCAUUUUAUAAUUAUUUAUCCAAUAAUUUGAGGCUGACUUGAAACUCCAUAGUAAUAGUCUCCCUUCAAUUCUACUCUCCAUACCCAUAUGCUUUUCCUGAGGGUGCUUGCUCACAACGCACUUUUCUUUUUUUCUCUUUUCUUCCAUGAGCUAGAGAGUGGGACCUCGUAGGUUUCUAAAGACUACACCACCUAAUAGUAAGAUGAGCAUAUCUCCUAAGAUUAUAUAGAUAAACACAAAUCAAAAUAUUCCCAACUCACCCAACCUAACCAUCAGCAGAUGAAUUUUGGUUAUUUUCAACAAUUUCCUUAACAAACACAUCCACAUGUAUAUUUCCUUCAAUAUAUGAGUUCCACAGAAUUUUUCUAGGCUAAAGUCAGUAUAAGAGUCCAGACAUGAUUAAAGAAUUUCACAAGCAUAAAAAGAAUAAAGCACACAUAAUGUGAAGGAAAAAAUGUAAAGCAGCUUUACUAAAAAUCUUUCUUGUAGAAUAUCUCCCACUUGGCUUAAAAGACUAUUUUUUUAUUAUUCUUAAGUCUCAUACUGUCUAUAUGCUUAUUGAACAUUUCCUGAUGAAUGGCUUUUGUUAAAGGAUCUGCCAUCAUAUCAUGGCUAGGUUGAUAUUCCAUGCAAAUUUCUUUUUUCUUUAGCGUAUCACGAAUAGAACAAUAUCUUCCUUCAAUAUGCUUGCGCUUUGAAUGGAACUUGGGAUCCUUUGUGAUAGCAUUUGCUGCCUGAUUUUCACAGGAAAGAGUAACUGAUUUCUUUAAUCCUUCCACAACCUUUACUUCUAAAAAUUCUUUUAGCCAAACUGCUUUAUUGGAUGCUUCUGAACCUGCAAUGUACACUACUUCCAUUGAAGAUAAUGCAGCAGAUGACUAUUUUCUACUAACCCUGAAACUACUCCAUCAAACAUGAAGAUAAAUCCUAAAGUUGAUUUCCUUUCAUCUAAAUCACCUUGCUGAUCAGCAUCUGUAUAAUCCUGCAAUUUCAAGUCUGUACUUGUGUCAACUUAUAGAUCUUUAGUGCCUUUGAUAUAUUUCAGAACACAUUUAACCAACUUUCAAUGUUGUAUUUCAGGGUUACAUUGGUAUCUACUACGUAAUCCAACAACAAAAUUGAGAUCCGGUCAUGUGCAUAACAUUGCAUAGAUUAGACUUCCUAUGACAAAGGUAUAAAGAAUCUUUACCAUCUUGAUUUUUUCCUCAAGAAUUUUAGGUCACAUUUCUUCAUUAAAUUUAUUCCCAAGACAAAUGAUGUCUCUCCUAAGUCAUUCAUAUCAAUGUUCAUUAAUAACCAGGCUUUGGUGUCAGACAACAUAGGCAUAUUAUUACCUGCAAUUAAUAUAUCAUCACAUAAAGUGAUAGGAGUGCAGUGUUCCUGCCACUUACCUUUGUGUAGAUGCAGAAUGCAGCGAUCGCCUUCUGUCAUAGAAACCCAAAAGCAUUAAUAGCCCUAUCAAGGCUAGACACCUGUCUUAGCCUAUGCAAGGCUUUCCACAAUUUGAAAUUUUGGGUUCUUUCAUUUCUCAAUAAAACCUUCAAACUGUAACAUAUAUAUGCCUUCUUCCAUCUCUCCAUCCAGAGAAAGCUGUUUUGGCAUCCACUUGCUAAACUUCAAAAUCAAAUUGAGCUACCAAAGCCCCCAAAAUGUGAAUUAGUGUAAAUUUGGCUACCAGUAAAAAGUUUCUACAAAAAAUUUAUCCUUCCUUUUGGUGUAUCCUUUUGCUAAAGUCUUGCCCUAUAUUUAUAAAUGGUUCCAUCUGACAUAAGCUUUCUUUUAAAAAUCCAUUUACAACCAAUUGGUUUGCGAUCUUGAGAUCGAUCCACUAAUUACCAAACCGCAUUCUUCAUUAUUAAGUUCAUUGUCUCAUGCACUGGUUCCACCAUAGUUUUGAUUCGAGAUUUUUGAUAGCCUCAUGAUAAGUUGUGGGGGUUCUCCUUCAUAAUUCUCUAUUCUGGGGUAUAGUUCCCCUAAGAAGGUAGUGUUGGUGAGGUAUUUUGGUGUUCUUCUAGUUCUUUCACUUCUUCAUGGAGGUAUGCUGCUUUCUACAAGUGAGGGUUGAGCUUUAUCUAAUUCCACAUGAAUCCUCUUUCUUUAUGUGAAAAAAGCAUCUUACAAAAAUGUAGCAUCUCUACUUUCAAUAAGACCAUUAUUUUCAGCAUCAUAAAAUUCAUAGCCUUUGGAUACCUUCGAGUAUCCAAUACAUGUUGCUGGAAUACUUUCAGGAUCCAACUUGGUUCUAUUUCCAUGUGGAACUCAAACACGUGCAUUACAACCCCUCAUAGCAAUAUCACUCAAGUGUGGUUUCCUACCAGUCUAUAAUUCAUAAAAGUGGCAGCAGUAAAUUUAGAAGUCGCAUGAUUUAAAUGUAAGCAGUUGUCUGAAGUUCUUCUCGCCAAAACUUAAGAGGAGCUGAUGCUUAGGCCGUCAUGGAUCUGACCUUGUCUAAUAGCAUUCUGUUCCUUCUCUCAGCAGCUCCAUUUUUUCAUGAGAAUCAAUUUUCAUCUUAUAUGACUCAAGCAUAGGUUCAUCAGAAGUUCCCAACACACAAUGCAAGAUCUUGCUAUUUGCACUCAUAGAAUAUGAAUAAGAAAUAUCAUCAGAAGAACUUGAGGCAUUAUUAGAAUUGAAAGAAAAAAGAUGCAACUAAUCAACUAAGCAAGCACAGAAACAAAAUCACCAUUCUUCCUAACAACUGCCUUUCCCUUGUUCGGGGUUGCUACAAAAUCGUGCAUGUCUAGCUUCGGAACAGAAGUUAAAUUCCUUCACAUGCUGGGAGCAUACAAAGUUUCCUUCAAAGAAAGAGAGCCACCUUAAUGUAAUUGAAGUUUGAAAGUUCCAAUUCCAAAAUUUCAGCUUUUGCAUUAGUUCCCAUAUAAACAAAUGCUAGCCAUUACAAACUUGUUUUAGACACACUCAAAACCUUCUUUCAUGAUAGCAAAAUUGGAGGUAGCUUCAGAAUCUAACAACCAAAUUUUUGUCCUCGUAGCAGCUACCAAUGAUUCAGUGAAAACACAAGCAUAAUGACAAAAGACCUACCAGAUUCCUUUUGAUCAUUAUGAUUCGGCUUCUUCCUUGGUUUUGAGCAUUCAGAUCUGAAAUGGCCUAAUGAUCUGUAAUUAUGGCAACUAAACUUGCUUUUAUCUGCAGCUCCUUAUAUAUUCCACAUCCAUAUUCUUUGAAAGGUCUCUAUCACGCCAAUUACGUUCCUUUCUUUUCCGGUCUGUUCUUUUUGCGUGUGCUUAUUUUGAUGACUCGGCAAUGUGACUCUAGUAAAAUAUUUGAUGAUCGCUCCCUCAAUAUAUUGCCAGUGAAAUAUUUACUCAUAAGCAUCUGAAUUUUAGUUACAGAAGUUCAUGCAAAGCUUUUAUCCAAUGCUUUCAUCAUUUUCUUUGCAGUAUCAUAUUUCUCACAUUCCAAAGCCAAGUAAUCAGCCAACCCUACAUAUAAAUUCGAGUCAUCUUGUCAUCCUUUUCCCAUGAUCUAUAUGCUUCUAUCUCGUCAUGUUUGGCUUGCUUUGUAGGUUCAUUAGGAGGAUUCUCUGUUUGCACAUGCUCAUAAUCAUCUUCAGCAACCACAUGUUAAAGCUUCCGUUUCCAACUUAUAUAAUCGGAUCCGUCAAACUUAUGUUUUUUAAGCAUUUCAGUUAAAGCACACUCAGAAAUCAUUGCUUCCAAUGUAGAUAAUCUAAAGUAAAGAGUAAUGGAAAGAGUAUACCCAGGUUAACGCUCCUCUCAGAGAGAAUCUAUCUUUGAUGAUGAAUGAAGAGAUCCAAGAACUGUGGUGAGAGAUAAGCUUCUGCUUUCACUCAGGCAUUUCCACAAACAUGUCAUGUGCAGUCUUCGAACAUCGAACAUCGAACAUCAACAGUGGAUGACCCUUUGCCCUCAUAGCAAAUGCAGCAACAUAGCAAAUCCCCUUGGUGAUACGUAAUGCCCCAGGACGCAAUGGUGUAAAUCCAACACAAAAUUGCAAGUUAUGUUCAAGAAGCAUGCACAACCCUCUUGUGCAUUCUGUCAAACACGUGGUGAGUAAAACAAGAUAACACAUAUAGAUUUACAUUAACAAGUACGCACAACCGUCUUAUGCAUCCUCUAUAAAAUAAGAUAAACCAACUAUGUAAUAUUUUUGAGUUAAAAUAUGCAUAAGUAAUAUGCUAAGUAAACAGUAAUACUGACAUAGUUAAUUUAGUGUAGAUGGGUACUCAUGUGAAAUUAAUAUCUAGAAAUGUGAGGCCUCCAUUCUUAAGUAUAUAACAUCCCAUAUCUCAUGCCUAGGUGAUUCAUUAUCAUAUGCCUCUCAAAAUAAGUCUAAUGUGUACUAACUUUCAUAACUGCUAUAAUGUAAUACUUGGGAAAACAAUUUAACCAUGCUAGUUUCAUUAGUGUCAUCCAACUAGUAAAUAUGGUCCCAUGUACACGUGUGAGUCACAUAUUGUGCAGGAGUUACAUGAUAUCUCAUUGUUCCCUAUUCACAUAGGAUGAACAGACAUUUGCAGCCGAUUCCAUCUGACAUCCCCUAGCUAUCUCCCAAUACCAUGUAUUUGGGCAAGCAUAUUUCUAUCAUUAAGUGUGUUCCAUAAAAUUAUUUCUGGCACAAGUCAGUAUAAGAUUCCAAACAUGAUUGAAGAAUUUCACAAAUAUAUAUAUAUAUAAAAGAGCUAAAAUAAUGUGAAGCAAACAAUAAAGUAGCUCUACUAAAAUUCUAAUAACAUUAAACACUGCAUUGAAUCCACAGAAGUGAGGUGGAAACAAUUAAUAAUGGCACGAAAGUUGGAAGGGAGGUGGUGUGCAGGGAGAGUGGAGAAACUACAGAAGUGAGGUACGGUGGCGUGGGAAGGGUGGAAAUAUUAAUAAUAAAAGAGAUUGGGAUAGAGCAAGCCAAAAUCAGAAGAGCACGGGAGGGGACCGGCGUAAGCACGGUUGGUGGGCCUGCGGGAAAAGAAAGGAGAAUUUUAAGACCACGGCACAAAUCUAGGCUGGCGCGUGGCGACACAGGCGCUGAUCCGAAGCUUCACACUUCUGAGAAAACGACGGGACUGAACGGUCUGACUUUGACACCAUAUUGUAAUAUUUGGGAAAAAAAAAAAAAAUAGUAUACAUAUAUUUUUGCCCAUCUUUUACAAUAUAGAAAAACAAGUUUUUACGUAGAUUUGGAGGCUGACAAAAUUUGGUAAGUACCGACUAAAUUUGGCAUAAUGUUUAACUAAGUUUAGCACGAUGUUCUACAAUGAUUCUAACAUAAUUUAUAGCAUGGUAGUUGGCUUAUGUUGCUAACGUCAAUUAUAGCAAACUACAGUAAUCAUAUGCUUUUAUCACGUUGCUUGUAUCUUGGUGUGGCUGCUGUUAGUUGUUGGAAUUGUAAAAUUUUAGAUGCUUUGCAUGGUAAGCUGGUUUGGGGGGAAAAGGUGAACCGAUUAGAAUAAAGGAGCUGUUGGUGCGUUUCUUGUUGGCUAGUAGUGCUGCUUCAAUGGUUUUGUGAGCAGUCCUUCAGCUAUGUAACUAAAUACUCAGUAUAAUUUUUGCAGUCAAUAAGUGAUUUUAUUCUAGUAUUGUUUCUUUGCUGCAUAUAUUAUAAUUCUAGUGUAAAAUUUGGUAAAUCAUUAUUUUGAGAAAAACCAAUUGCAAAACCAAUUGCAUUAUGGUUAUUUGAGUUUAUCAAGUCUUCUCCAACAAAAUUUAGAUAUAUUUGAUUUUAAUAGUGAAAAGUUCUGCCAAGUUUUCUCCAAGUCAUGAUGCUCUAGCCAAAGCUUUAGUGGAAGUAAGAGAGAUUCAAAAUUGUGACGUUUGUUGCAAGGCAGACAAAUACAUUGUAAGGUUCAGAAGAAUAUAUGUUUGUAAUUGUUAUCUGGCAGCAAUGAUUGUAUAUUAAUGUUUUCCUACUUUUUUGAAGAUUCUACUGAAAGUACCAUGUCCCAGGAAAAAUAAUGACAAAACUAUCAAUUUCUCGAUGCUGCUAUUGUUUGAAAUGUCAAGGGUUUUCCUUUGUUGUUAUUCUAUGCAUAGGGCCACAUCAAGUGGCAUCUAGGGUUGACCCACAUCUGGUCUUACUUAAUAUGACCUAAUCUAAUCCUUGUAUCCAGACUUUUACUCUAGCUGAAUCUCUUCUCUAAUUAAAUUUUUGAAUCUUUCUUGGUCCGAUCUAUAGAGAAUUGUCAUUUGAAAUCUUAUUCUGUUAAUCUGGAGACAGAUAGCAUAUGUUAAUUGCGACAGCAUGAUAAUCUACUCGGGUUCUCACUCACCAAUAACAUGCCUCUUUAGGUUCAUUUUAGUCACAUAUUAGCUCGGUGGUCCAGCAUGGGGAACCUCUUGAUAAGUAGGAUGAAGUCGGUUGGUAUCCUUUUUAUUUCACAAGCUACAUUUUGUAAUUCAAUCCCUAUCAUUCCAAUUACCUCAUAUGAUUAUUGAGUAUUGCACUACCAAAGCCUUAAUCGUAUGAUGUCAUCACAUGUUAGAACCCUUGAUCAUGGCAAAAAUCCUUGUAUAAGAUCCAUUCUUGUAAAAUUCCUUUUCGAAAAUAAUUAUAUAUUAAUCAUAAUAAUUUUGUGAAUCUAACUAUUUCCAAAACCUUUCACAUUACUGCUUGAGCCUGAGAUAUUAUAUGAUUGAUUAUAUAUAUCUCUAUUCUAAUAUAGAUACUAUGCCAUUAUGAUGAUUUCAAUUUGAGAUAGCUAGAUCUUCACUUGCAUCUAUAAACAACUAUGCUAUCUGUUAAAGAUAUAGUACAAGGUAUCAUUGUUGAUACAUGAGUUUGGCUACAAAUUUACUAAUCUCUAAGAUAUAGUAAAAUAUUCUAUCAUUCAAGUUAAGGUACCACUUGCAAGCUCGUGCAUGUAGUUCAUACUUCUAGUACUUUAGGAGGAGGAUUGCUAGUGUCAAUUGUUUAGUAUGAUAGAACACCUGAUUAUUUGAUAGGAUAGAAUACCUGAUUGUCAGUGUGGAGUCUCCCUCAGUGAAGGAAGAAGUCUAUGAAGUCACUCUCCCCCAAAAGUCUUAUAGGUGCUAACUAUAAAAAAUUUUCGAAUACCUUGAUGUAUCUGAUCUUUCCCGUGGAAUGCUUUGUCCACUUGGAUAAACGCAUACAAUACUAGUACUUUAUGACACAUAUGUUACACUAUUCAUGUAAUAUGGAAUAGAAAAAAAUCAUGCAGUAAGUAUACACAUACUUACAAUUUACAUGAAAAUAGCCUUCAGGACAUACACUAUUCUAAUAGGUUGAUUGUACCACAUUAUUUUGGACAUUGUGCUCAGCAUUGCUUUUCUGAGGCAUGGUAGAAGGUGUGUUGCUUUGGUUAACCCUUAUUUAAUGAUACUCUUGUUGAAGGUAAAAAUUUAUACUACUUGCAAAGUUUAGCUACUUGCAAUUCCAGGUACUUCAACUUCCAUCUUUGUCUCGACCAACCGUUCGAAAAAAAUAAUAGAGGCAUUGUUGCUCAACACCAGCAACUAGUUUUUUGUUCCAACUCUAUACAAGUUGCAAUAUUAUUGUAUAGCUAUGGUUAUAUUUAAAGUGCAUUGCUCAUUUGUUUUGCUUUCUGCAAUGGAUCUUGUGAGCAUGGAUAAAUAUGAGUGUUGUUUUUAAAGAAGUAAUGCUAGUUUGCUUAGAAAUCCUUCAUCUUUUAUGCACCCAACUGUUCCACAACAUCCAUAUCUUUUGCUUUUUUUUAGCAUUACUUUUUAUCCUAGUUUAUAUGAUUACAAAGUAUAUUUAUGAUGCUUCAUUUGACGGACAAAAACGAAGGUCUAUAAUUGAUAUUUUUCCUUCCCUUUUCUUGUCAUCACAUAUCAUGACAAUAGUUAUAUAUAAGUGCCUCUUCACAUAUAGACAAAAAUAUUUAUCUCUUCUCUGAAGAACAAAGUAUUAUACUUAUUUGUUACUAAUUACAGAAUAUUAUAGAAGAUGAAGAUGAUUUGGAGAAGUGUUAUAUAUGUAUGUAUGUAUAUAUGUAUCACAUACAAUAUUACACAAUGUACUAGAUGGCUACAUUUCAUAUUUACAAUUAGACGAAGUAUGGCUGACCCCAUGAUUUUACUUCUUGUGUUAUAGAAAUGUUGUACUGGAAUACAUUAUGCAAAUUCCAUUAAGAGUAAAAUGUGAUUGUUCUUCUCCUUUUUCCUCUUGAGAUAGGAUGGCAAGGAGAACAAGUUUAUGACGAGGCUGGAUCGAUGCAUGAGUGUGCCACUGGUUUCCACAUCGGAAAGGAUAGAUAGUAGUAGUUUCUAUUAGCUUGACGGUGACCCAAUGGGUUGAUUUUGAUGAGUAUAAAAUAUCUAGUAUAAUACUAAUUGUGUUGUUGGAGUAGUAAUUUGUUUUAUAGAAAGCUCAAUGAGGUUGAAAGGUUAGAAAAACAUGCAGAAGUUUUUUGAAGAGUUUUGUAGUAGAUGAGUCGACCCUGAAGAAUCAUAAGUCAACUCUUGUCGAGCACGAGUCGACUCCAGAAUAGCCGCAUAUAAAAAAUAGAAAGCAAUAAAAACUAGCCCUCUCAUGAGUCGACCUUAAUAGAUCACAAGUCGACUCUAAAGUUAGAUGAGUCAACCCCACAGUAAGCAUAGGAGAAAGAUAGACCGUAGUAAAAAUGAGUAAUUUCUCGAGUCAACUCAUCUGUACCGGGCAAUAGUAAUAGCUAGUUUUUUUGCAAAACCAGAACGACCAUAUUCACUCUCAAUAGCUAUUUCAACCUCUCUAAUAGCUAGAAAUAUCUUCAACUAAUUUUUGAAAAUAUAAAUGCAUGGAAAUAUCCAAGGGAUACAAGAGGAAGAAAGGAGAUUAAGGAUGAUAAGUGGAUGAGGUAAAGGAGAAGGAAUACAAAGUUAAUCACUACUUUUAGAGCUUCAACUUGAGGAUCAAUUUAAGAAGUGACUAUUCAAAGCCUCCACCCACUUGAAAUAGAGCUUUCAAAUGUUUAGAGAGAGCUUUAACUGUCAAUCAUUGAGAGCAAGUAACAAAGAGAAAGAAAAGGAGUUGAAUAGUAUUCACCAAGAUUCCAACUUUUAGAACAGUCAAACUUGAGCUGCAACAGCAUUAAUCCAACCUCUAUGGAGGUCAUUUUGUAUAUAUUUUCUAUCUUUCUUUUAUGCACGAGAUUAGAAAAUCUUAUGUGGGGUUUUUGGUGUGGUUGACACUAUAAAAAAUCAGCAAUCUUGUAAGAUUUGGCUGUACCCGUGGAUAGCUAGAUUGUGGUCGAUUGUCUUAAAAAAUCGACUAAGUUUUACUAAGCUUGAAAUUCGACAAAGUGUUCCUAAGUGUUGGAACUCAAGGUUGGUUUAGUUAUAUUAGCAAAACAGUUUAGUUUUAAUUGAUUGAUAGAAAAAUCAACUAAGUUUAGUUGUGAGCUUGGAAAACCACUGUGUUGUAAUCUUAUUUAUAGAUUAUAGUAAAAAUUUUUUGGUAUUUGAUUUGUUUGUGCUUGUUCUUUUCUUCUACUAAUUACUCAUUUUGCUGCGCAUACUUAAGUUUAGAAUAGUUUUGCUUAAGCUUUGUUUAAGUUUGUAAAAAUUUUUGAAAACCUAAUUCAACCCCCCCCUCCCCCUCCCCCUCCCUCUCUCCCUCAUCUUGGUCAACAAUUAGUAUCAAAGUAGGUGCUCUUUUAUCUUUUGUAAACCUAACCGUCUAAAGCUUAAGAUCUAUAUGACAGCCCUUGAAAUGCCCUUUGCUAAAAGGCACUCCUUUGUUAGACCUUCUCUUUUUAGUAGGUUUGAUUACACCUAUUGGAUAGCCCGAAUGAAAAUUUUUAUUCAAGCACAAAGGUAUGAUUUAUGGAAUAUAAUAGUACAUGGGCUACACACAUCCACUAAAAUUAUAAAUAGAGUUCAGGUUCCCAAACACGAAAGUGAAUGGGAUAAUAAUGAAAAGAAAUUAGUUCAAAUGAAUGCAAAACAAUGAAUACACCUUAUUGUGUACUUAAUAAAAAUAAAUUUAAUAGAAUGUGUACAUGUUGUUCCACUAAAAAAGUUUGGAAUAGAUUAGAAAUAAUUUAUGAAGAAACUAACAAAGUGAAAGAAUCAAAAAUUAAUAUGCUAGCACAAAUUAUGAAAUAUUUAAAAUAGAAUAAUAUGACUCUAUUUCUAAAAUAUUUUCAAGAUUUUUAAAUAUUAGUAAUAUUUUGAAAUUAUUAGAAAAAUCUUAUACUAAAACCAAUCAUGUGAGGAAGAUUCUUAGAGCUUUGCUAAGAUCUUGGAAAAUAAAAGUGAUAGCUAUUCGAGAGGCAAAGAAUCUAAAUGAGCUAUCCUUGGAGGAGCUCUUAGGUUCCCUCAUGACAUAUGAGCUCAUCAUAAUAAAUCAAGAAGAAGAGGACAGCGGUGAAAAAAAGAAAGUUUUAGCAUUCAAAUCCUCCAAUCAGGAAGAUAAAGUGAAAAAAAGAAGCUAGAAGAAAGAAGUAAAGCUUCAGCUAAGGGGGAGCUGAAAGAAAAAAAGAGAUAAGAGAAAAAAAAAAAGCUUCAGUUAAGGGGGAACUAUGCAAAAAGAAAAAGAAGAAGGCAACUUGGAGCGACAACGAAGAUUUCGGCUCUAAGAAAAAGGAAGAACUAAAGGUAAACAACUUAUGCUUCAUGGCACAAGAAGUUGAGGCAAAACUAGGAUUCCUGCUCAGCUCGGCCACCUCGGCUAUUGAGCCCUGAUAAAUAGGGCUCCUCUAUAAGGGAAGCAGCUCGGCCUCCCAUUGCGUUAAAGGCGCACCCAACUCCACCACAUGCCAACUUGUUAUGGUAUGUCCUUAAGGUUAUGCCAUGUCAGCAGUUUGUUACAGUAUGACCCUAAGUUUGCAAGGAUGCGAUCUUGAAAGAUUUGGGAUGCUAGCUAUAAAUAUGUCAAAAUGAACUCAACAAAAGGAAGAUAAUAAUCUGAACCUGGGGGAGACACUAUCCCUCUAUUCUUCUUUUCUUUCUUUCUUGGUUUUUUAUUAAAGAAACUUUUACUGACUUAAGCAUCGGAAGAUCCAACCGGAGCCAAUCCAUCGAGCCUUCAUCCUUUGUUUGUUNNNNNNNNNNNNNNNNNNNNUUGUAGGUCCACAGAAGCGAUCCACAUUAGUAUUCCGGGAUCCGGCGACAAUAGAUUGGCUUCAACUAUAGGAGCGAAAGGAGAAAUGCCAUGAAGCAUAGAAGGAACAAUCACUCGAGAGUCAAUCAACAAAAAUCCAGUGGUUCUCUAGACAACCCUCUAAUGUCUCUAUCGCUGAGGCCAAGUGCAAACCACCAAUGUCAGGCAAUGGCUUGUUGGCUCAAUAAGUGCAAGCUCUCAUGGUAAUGGAAAGAUCUGCAGUGGUACGUCGUCCCACUUUUGGCAGAUCUGCUAAAUCACUAAGAUGAUCCUAUCUAGGGCAGCAACCAUCUUCACCCUUAAGCAUCAUGAGAGAGGCCGAAAGUAGAGCCGCUAUUAUUCCCUUCUAAAGCUAACUCAGUAAACUCUCUCCACAUCGAUGUAAUACCAAGCCCAAAAUGGGCCAUAAUGGACUAAAGUCGGCAGGGCCUGUCGACUUCAAUCCAAUUUGGAUAGGAGCGGAACAAGGAUCACGAUCGUGAUCCCCUGCUCUGCUUUCUUCGGGCGCGACGGGAGCAGCGGCAUCGUAGCCAUUCCGUGGCUGCCUUGUGGCUACUUGAGCGGUCACCGAUCAUGCUUAACCGCUGUAGGAAUCGCAGCAAUACAUCAUUUGAAAGCUCUCUAUAAAACCUCCUCUUCCCUUCCUCUAGAUCCUCCACAAAGGACCUCCUACCUCUUUCUUCCAUCCGUCCGGCAGCUGACAUACUGUUACAACUGUGUUCUGCUAAGCCCUCUCCUCCCUUCUCUCUCUCUCCAUUUCCUUCACUCUAGGGCUCCUUCUCUCCAUUUCGAGUGCCACCGCUAGCCCCCGAACCGAGCUGCCCUCGGCGGAGACCUGCCGCCUCCAUCGAUCAUCCCUUCCCUCUGCUCUUCGAUCUGUAGCCAAAUCAAGUUUUCUUUUUAUUUCUCCUAUUCUGGAUCCAAACCGAGGAAUCGAUUUUUCCCUCUUCUCGUCGGCCGCCGCAGCAGCCGUUGGCCGCUACUACUGUCAACGACUAGCCAUCAUCCCCCAGGCCGGCCACUGCCGGAACCUCUCCUCUCCUCUCUUCCCUCUUCUUCCUCUCUUCUUCUCCUCCUUCUUCCUUGUGUUCUCAAUGAGAUGAAGAACCCCAAUUUUGGGUUGUAAUUGGGGCAUGAUUAUUCAUUUGGGCCCCGUUUGAAUUGGGCCCAGUUCAUUCAUUUUGGGCCUUGUUGGGUCGUGCUCAUUUUGGACCCUAUUGGGUCUUAUUCACUUUGUUGGGACAUGCCCAUUUUGGGCCCUGUCCACUCUUUGGGUCGUGCCCAUUUUGGGCCUUGUCCACUCUUUGGGUCGUGCCCAUUUUCGUCCCUAUAGGCUCAGUUCAGUCAUUUUGGGCCCUGUUGGGUGAUGCCCAUUGUGGGCCAAGCUUAGGAUCAAUUCAGACAUUUUGGGCCCAAUUGGGUCGUGCUCAUUAUGGACCCAUCAUGUUCACCCUAUUGGGCCGUGUCCAUAGUGGGCCCUACUGCGCCUUGUUUGCCCAUUGUGGGCCUAUUCAACCAUUGUGGGCUCGCUCAUCCGUUAUGGGCCCGUUCACCCAUUAUGGAUCCAUUCACCCAUUGUGGGCCCAUUCAUCCAUUGUGGGCCUGUUGACCCAUUAUGGGCCUAUUAACCCAUUGUGGGCUCGUUCACCCAUUGUGGCCCUUUUCACCCGUUGUAGGCCCAUUCAUCCGUUGUGGGCCCAUUCAUCCGUUGUGGGCUCGUUCAUCCGUUGCGAGCCGUAUUCAUUUUGGGUUCUAUUCGUCCCUUGUGGGUCAUGUUCAUUUUGGGUCAUGAUCAUUCAUUUUGGGCCCUACUCAUCUAUUAUUGGUCGUAUUCCUUUUGGGCCUUGUUGGGUCUUGUUCAUCUAUUCUGGGCCAAGUUUGCUCAUUAUGGACCAGAUACAUUAAUUGAUCCAGUCGACCUAGGCCAAACAUUUCUUUUUCGAUUUUGGUCAAAUCGGACUAAAUAGGCCAAGCCUCUGAUUAGACCUAACUAAGUGGAUCAAACCCAAAAGCUCAAAUAGCCUUAGAUUAUGUAUCUCUUUCUCUCUCUGAGCAAGCCCACGUUGUGAUUAGAUCUAGACCUUUCCUCUAAGGGUCAAUCCGAAAUAUUCGAACCAAGCCCAAGACCAUGAUCAAACCAAAUUUAGACCCGAGCUGAGAUUCUCUCUCCUCCUUUUUC